GGAAAAAUCCGCCGAUUUUUCACAUAGAUUCCUAACUCUGCCGGUUUUCCUUUAAUAAGCUUGUAACAAGGGGUUUCCUGUUAGUUAUGAGUCAAGUCCCUAUUUAAGUAACAUCUAUCUAUCUACCGGUAUUUAUCUUCUUUCUAUCUAUAUAAAUUACAGGAACAUC